ACGCUAAUGGGGUACACCAAUAUCUCUACCCCCUUCGAACUCAUUUGACGGAUCACCUUCUGACUUCUUACGUGAACCCUCAUGGACCGGUGUCUACCGCAACACUGGCCAGAUGGGUCCACUGGUUUUUGUCUUUAGCGUCGAACCUUGUUUCGGAGCCCACUCGGUCAGGGGAGCGGCGGCCUCACAAACCUUUUCGGCCGACGCUUCCCUAGCCGACAUUAUACGCUGCGCGGACUGAGCGCGAGAGAGUACGUUUAGAACGUUCUAUUUUCGGCAAACAUCUCAUGCUUCCUUCACAUUGGUCAAUUCAA